rnacentral:rRNA from 1 species
ACUAACUAGGAUUCCUUCAGUAGCUGCGAGCGAACAGGGAAGAGCCCAGCACCGAAUCCCGCGGYYGACAUCGGGCGCCGGGAAAUGUGGUGUUAGGGAGGAUCCGUCUAUCCCGAGGUCGGCGGGCGCGUCCAAGUCCUUCUUGAACGGGGCCACAGCCCACAGAGGGUGCCAGGCCCGUAGCGACCGCCGCCGAUCGCGGGAGGAUCUCUCCUCAGAGUCGGGUUGCUUGAGAGUGCAGCCCUAAGCGGGUGGUAAACUCCAUCUAAGGCUAAAUACGACCACGAGACCGAUAGCGAACAAGUACCGUGAGGGAAAGUUGAAAAGCACUUUGAAGAGAGAGUUCAAGAGUACGUGAAACCGUUCAGGGGUAAACCUGAGAAACCCGAAAGGUCGAAAGGGGAAAUUCAUUCGCGUCUCGGCGAUCGAGGCGAGACGUUCGCGCGACGGACGGCGUACGCGUCGUCCGAGCCUUACGUUUCGAGACUCGGCGCCGAACGCGUGCACUUUUCCCCUAGUAGGACGUCGCGAUCCGUCGGGCGUCGGUUUAAGGCCCGCGCAGGAGACCGGGAGCACGUCUUCGCGGACGUUUCGCUUCCGGACGCGCGGCGGCCCGGCCGACGCGCUCGACGGUAUACAGAUGGCGCGGGGCCGCUACAACUCUUCAGUUAGCGUUCGGCCCGCGGCAAGCGCGUUCGGUGUCUCGGCGGCGAUCGGACCCGGUGCCGGUUCCGUCCCCGAACGACUGUUGGCCGCGGUGUUCUCGAACAGACCCCGUCGAUCUCGAAACGCCGAUCUGCGACGCUAUAGCUUUGGGUACUUUCAGGACCCGUCUUGAAACACGGACCAAGGAGUCUAGCAUGUGCGCGAGUCAUUGGGACAUAACUAAACCUAAAGGCGCAAUGAAAGUGAAGGUCCGCCUCGCGCGGACCGAGGGAGGAUGGACGGUCCGCGCUUUCGCGCGCGGCCGCCCCGCACUCCCGGGGCGUCUCGUUCUCAUCGCGAGAAGAGGCGCACCAAGAGCGUACACGCUGGGACCCGAAAGAUGGUGAACUAUGCCUGGUCAGGACGAAGUCAGGGGAAACCCUGAUGGAGGUCCGUAGCGAUUCUGACGUGCAAAUCGAUCGUCGGAACUGGGUAUAGGGGCGAAAGACUAAUCGAACCAUCUAGUAGCUGGUUCCCUCCGAAGUUUCCCUCAGGAUAGCUGGCGCUCGUCGCGCACGAGUUUCAUCCGGUAAAGCGAAUGAUUAGAGGCAUUGGGGUCGAAACGACCUCAACCUAUUCUCAAACUUUAAAUGGGUGAGAUCUCCGGCUUGCUCGAACUAUAUUUUAUGAAGCCGCGAGAGACACGAAUCAGAGUGCC